UGGAUUUGGCUGAGGCAAGCUAAUUUCACUGCUUAACAUCAUAACCACUGAUGACAUGUUUGGCCUAUCAUGUGCAUUCUGCUGCACACAGAGGAGACUUAUAUGAAUGCAGCGCAACGCUUCAGAGAGAUCACCUUUGAGGUAUUCAUCAACUACUUCUAUAUGCCUUUCUUCUGUCCAUAAAUCCCAAGCCUAUAUAUGCAUAUACCAAAUUAUGUAGCAUUCAUUGUGAAGUAUAAGUUUGGAUAGACAUGAUCAAAUGAUAGCUGAUCUAUACUUACAUAUCCAACAAGGUAUGUACUUUCUUUAUCAUGAUGGUUUGCUUUGUUCUUCUUUCCGGAUACUAUCUCCAGCAGCAAAAUGCCAAAGCUAAAGACAUCAGAUUUCACUGAAAAAUUUCCGUCUAUUGCAUAUUCUGGUGCCAUGUAUCCACUAAUGAAUAAUAUAAGAAAAAGGAUUAGUUUGGUAUUGAAAUUGUAUAAUUAAAAUUAAGAGGCAUUAUGAAUCCUUACUAGGUUCCAACCACUCGACCUGUAGUUUCUGCACUUUGAUCUCCUUUAAAAAUUUUGGCCAAACCAAAGUCUGAUAUUUUAGGAUUCAUAUCACUAUCAAGUAAAACAUUACUUGCUUUGAGAUCUCUAUGAAUGAUUUUUAGUAUUGAAUCUUGAUGAAGAUAAAGAAUUCCCCUUGCAAUUCCACAAAUUAUUUGAAAGCGCUUCGACCAAUCCAAGAGCAUUCUUUGCGUUUCAUCUAGUCAUUUUUGAACAUUGUAUAAUCUUUUCAGAACAAACAGACAGUUAAUUAUGCAUUUCUUGAAGGGCCACAACUACUAUGAGCAAUUUAACAUGGAUCAAAGCAUCUAGAAAUUUCAUACCAAAUAUAAAUAAAUCCAGACUUUUAUUAGGCAUGUACUCAUAGACGAGCAAUUUUUCUUCCUCAUGAAUGCAACACCCAUGAAGCUUUACAAGAUUACGAUGCUGAAGUUUGGCUAUUAAGACAAUUUCAUUCUUAAAUUCUUUAAGUCCUUGGCCAGAGCUUCUAGAAAGUCUCUUAACAGCAAUUUCUUGUCCAUUUUCCAUUGUCCCCUGCCAUUUACCAAUAGCAAAUACUGUAACUUUGUAAGCUACAAACGGCUUUAAUUUGUUUUUGCAUGAUUAUGAAACCAGCUUAUCAUGUAUAUAAAUAUUACCUUAUAUACAGGUCCAAAACCACCUUCUCCGAGCUUGUUGUCGAUUGAAAAGUUGUUUGUGGCGCUAGCUAUAACUGAUAGGUCAAACAAUGGAAGCUCCAAAUCCUCUUCCUGUUCUUCCUUGAAAUGAUCUACUACUGCUGCAUU
rnacentral:lncRNA from 1 species